rnacentral:sRNA from 1 species
GUAUAUUAUGUAAUUCAAAUUUUUUAAAACAAACAUAUAUUAUUCAAUGGAUGAAGAAAUAAUAUGUGUACAAUGUCCCACAUCGCUUAGAAAAAUUGGAGAAUGGUUCAGAGUCAUAUUAUAAAAAGGGAAAAAUGUCAUUUAAAUCACGAUUUCGCAAAUUGUGGUGCUUUAAAACAUAAACUUUGUACCUUGUGAUUAAAAUUAUCAAUUAUGUGUUGACUUCAGAUAAAAAUCACUAACUUUCGUUGACAAAGCCAAAUUAGUCACAACAUCAACUGAAUAAACGGAGCAAAUUAGACGCUAUGAUUUAUCCAUUAAUGAGUCCGUUUAAGA